rnacentral:rRNA from 1 species
CCUACGGGAGGCAGCAGUGAGGAAUAUUGGUCAAUGGGCGAGAGCCUGAACCUGCCAAGUCGCGUGAAGGAUGAAGGAUCUAUGGUUUGUAAACUUCUUUUAUAUGGGAAUAAAGUGAGGAACGUGUUCCUUUUUGUAUGUACCAUAUGAAUAAGCAUCGGCUAACUCCGUGCCAGCAGCCGCGGUAAUACGGAGGAUGCGAGCGUUAUCCGGAUUUAUUGGGUUUAAAGGGUGCGUAGGUGGUUAAUUAAGUCAGCGGUGAAAGUUUGUGGCUCAACCAUAAAAUUGCCGUUGAAACUGGUUGACUUGAGUAUAGUUGAGGGAGGCGGAAUGCGUGGUGUAGCAGUGAAAUGCGUAGAUAUCGCGCAGAACUCCCAUUGCGAAGGCAGCUUACUGAACAAUAACUGACACUGAGGCACGAAGGCGUGGGGAGCAAACGGGAUUAGAUACCCCAGUAGUC